rfam:Myotis brandtii contig280982, whole genome shotgun sequence.
GCUGGUGUGGCUCAGUGGAUAGAGCGUCAGCCUUCGGACUGAAGGGUCCCGGGUUCGAUUCCCCUCAAGGGCA